rnacentral:tRNA from 1 species
GGGUGUGUAGUUUAAUGGUAAAACAGCUGGCUCCAGACCAGCAGCUGGGAGUUCGAUUCUCCCCGCGCCCA